rnacentral:snRNA from 1 species
AGAAAGGUGUGAUGUGAAUCUGUCACGCCCAUUGAUCACCAGGGUUGACUCGGCUGAUCUGACUGGCUAAGCGGGUGUCCCCUUUCUCCCUUACCAUUCCAUGUGCAUCCCUUCCAAAGCUUUGUGCUCAGAGAGAAUGACCUUCCCUGAUAGAGGAGGACCAUUCUUCGGUCAAGAGUAUAAGAGUAGCUGUGUGUCCCUGUUGGAACCUCCAAAUGUGCUCUCAAGGUCCAUUUGUAGAAGUAGGUUGGUCAAGCUUCCAGGGCUCCAGACAUCCAAAUGAGGCACUGUAUGGCAAUCUGCCUUAAAAU